GCUCUGCCCGCUGGGGGGCACGUGAGCACCUCUAAAUUUCCUCCUUUCCUUGGUGCCACCACGCUCUAGGAAAGCAGACUGUGUGUGCUCUAGCAAUCACAGGCAAUACUGGAAGUGCAGCAGCACACUGUUCCGAACCCUGGAGGCUACUCAGGAGAGGAGCUGUAUACCCCAACUCUGCCCUGACAGGCAGUGUCCGGCAGGCCAGGCCAGGCCUCUCCCUCCAUCUCGGCUUUUCGGAGAGAAAGCAAACAGACCCUGAAACAGAUGGAAACUUCCUCACUAAUAAACCUACCCUAAGGCUGAGACAUGUUCAAGAAGAAGCAGAAAAUUACCUUUCAGGAAGCCAACAUGAGAUCGGCCUGCAAGGCUCCUCCAGGCCUCAGACUUGCUUUUCAAAGCAGAGCCUCCUCAAGGAAGAAACUGAAGAGGCUCCAGGACUCCUACCUCCUGCUGUGACCUCCUGCUUGACCUGCCUUGGAUGAGCCCUGUCCUCACCAUUUGUGUAAUCUCCCGGAGUCCUGGAAAGAGAAAAUGAGAACCUCCAGGCAACCCAAGAGACCCCCAUCCUUACAGUCUCCACCAGUGUUCCCUGUCAACCAACUAUGUAAGAAAGGAUACAGUGUCCAGGCUCAGCCUCUAAUUUGAUCCUAAGGGCCUCUGGGGAGCUGCUUCCGGUUACAUUCCCCAUCAGUGCCCCUCCCCCAACCCCCUCAUCCCCUCACCAACUCAGAACUGUGUUAAGAUGUAGAGUCAUUCUUUAGAAACUCACUGGCCACCAAACGUGGCCUGGUCAUAUGAUGGAAUACAACUCAGCCAUAAAAAUGGAAUAAUGUACUGAUCCAUGCUAAGUGGAUAAACUUGAAAAUAUCAUAUUCGGUGGCAGAUGUCAGAGUAAAAGGUACUAUAGUAAUUUAUCUCAAUACAACAUUCAGGCUGGGGAAGCUGUUGAAGACGGAAGCAGACUGUAGUUGCCUGGGGCAGGGGGUCUAGAGAGAAACGGAGUUUGUGAGGUGAUGGAAGUUUUAAAGUCGACUAUUUCAGAACAUUUUAGACAGUGCCUGGAUCAGCACUUUUAAUGGGUAGAUUGUGUGGUAUGUGACUGUAUCUCAGUAUUUUUAAAUAUUUAUUCUAAAUAAAUAUUUGAUUUAGAAUGCUUA